rnacentral:SRP_RNA from 1 species
GCCGGGCAUGGUGGUGCUUGCCUGUAGUCCCAGCUACUUGGGAGGCUGAGGCAGAAGAAUCGCUUGAACUCAGGAGGCAGAGGUUGCAGUGAGCCGAGAUCGUGCCACUGCACUCUAGCCUGGGCGACAGAGCGAGACUCCGUCUUAA